rnacentral:rRNA from 1 species
GAUGAACGCUAGCGGCAGGCCUAAUACAUGCAAGUCGAACGGUGUCUUCGGACAUAGUGGCGCACGGGUGCGUAACACGUAUGCAACCUACCUUACAUUGGGGGAUAGCCUUUCGAAAGGGAGAUUAAUACCGCAUAAGACAGUAACAUGGCAUCAUGUAGCUGUUAAAGAUUUAUCGAUGUAAGCUGGGCAUGCGUCCAAUUAGUUAGUUGGUGAGGUAAUGGCUCACCAAGACGAUGAUUGGUAGGGGAACUGAGAGGUCAAUCCCCCACACUGGCACUGAGAUACGGGCCAGACUCCUACGGGAGGCAGCAGUAGGGAAUAUUGGGCAAUGGACGCAAGUCUGACCCAGCCAUGCCGCGUGCAGGAAGAAGGCGUUCUGCGUUGUAAACUGCUUUUAUAUAGGAAGAAACGACCCUUGCGAGGGGCAUUGACGGUAUUAUACGAAUAAGCACCGGCUAACUCCGUGCCAGCCGCCGCGGUAAAAC